rnacentral:rRNA from 1 species
GACGAACGCUGGCGGCGUGCUUAACACAUGCAAGUCGAACGGAAAGGCCCUGCUUUUGUGGGGUGCUCGAGUGGCGAACGGGUGAGUAACACGUGAGUAACCUGCCCUUGACUUUGGGAUAACUUCAGGAAACUGGGGCUAAUACCGGAUAGGAGCUCCUGCUGCAUGGUGGGGGUUGGAAAGUUUCGGCGGUUGGGGAUGGACUCGCGGCUUAUCAGCUUGUUGGUGGGGUAGUGGCUUACCAAGGCUUUGACGGGUAGCCGGCCUAAGGGGUGACCGGCCACAUUGGGACUGAGAUACGGCCCAGACUCCUACGGGAGGCAGCAGUGGGGAAUAUUGCACAAUGGGCGGAAGCCUGAUGCAGCAACGCCGCGUGCGGGAUGACGGCCUUCGGGUUGUAAACCGCUUUCGCCUGUGACGAAGCGUGAGUGACGGUAAUGGGUAAAGAAGCACCGGCUAACUACGUG